rnacentral:rRNA from 1 species
AUUGAACGCUGGCGGCAGGCCUAACACAUGCAAGUCGAGCGGAUGAAGGGUGCUUGCUCCUGGAUUCAGCGGCGGACGGGUGAGUAAUGCCUAGGAAUCUGCCUGGUAGUGGGGGAUAACGUCCGGAAACGGGCGCUAAUACCGCAUACGUCCUGAGGGAGAAAGUGGGGGAUCUUCGGACCUCACGCUAUCAGAUGAGCCUAGGUCGGAUUAGCUAGUUGGUGGGGUAAAGGCCUACCAAGGCGACGAUCCGUAACUGGUCUGAGAGGAUGAUCAGUCACACUGGAACUGAGACACGGUCCAGACUCCUACGGGAGGCAGCAGUGGGGAAUAUUGGACAAUGGGCGAAAGCCUGAUCCAGCCAUGCCGCGUGUGUGAAGAAGGUCUUCGGGUUGUAAAGCACUUUAAGUGGGGAGGAAGGGCAGUAAGUUAAUACCUUGCUGUUUUGACGGUACCAACAGAAUAAGCACCGGCUAACUUCGUG